ACUCCUACGGGAGGCAGCAGUGGGGAAUAUUGCACAAUGGGCGCAAGCCUGAUGCAGCCAUGCCGCGUGUAUGAAGAAGGCCUUCGGGUUGUAAAGUCUUUCAGCCGUGAGGACGGUAAUCGUUAAUAGCGUAGGACGA
rnacentral:rRNA from 1 species